CCCUGUCUGGCUCAGUUGGUAGAGCAUGUGACUUUUGAUCUCAGGGUUGUGAGUUUGAGCCCCACGUUCAGGG
rnacentral:tRNA from 1 species